AGGGAUUGCCUCAGUAACGGCGAGUGAAGCGGCAACAGCUCAAAUUUGAAAUCUGGCCCCCCUUGGGGGUCCGAGUUGUAAUCUGCAGAGGGUGCCUUGGCAUCGGCGGCGGUCUAAGUUCCUUGGAACAGGACAUCGCAGAGGGUGAGAAUCCCGUACGUGGUCGCCCGCCUUUGCCGUGUAUGGCCCCUUCGACGAGUCGAGUUGUUUGGGAAUGCAGCUCUAAAUGGGAGGUAAAUUUCUUCUAAAGCUAAAUACCGGCCAGAGACCGAUAGCGCACAAGUAGAGUGAUCGAAAGAUGAAAAGUACUUUGGAAAGAGAGUCAAAUAGCACGUGAAAUUGUUGAAAGGGAAGCGCUUGCAGCCAGACGUGCCCGCAGUUGCUCACCCCGGCUCUCGCCUGGGGCACUCUUCUGCGGGCAGGCCAGCAUCGGUUUGGGCGGUCGGAUAAAGGCCUCUGUCAAGUAUCUUCCUCCGGGAUGACCUUAUAGGGGAGGCGCAAUGCGGCCAGCCCGGACCGAGGACCGCGCAUCUUGCUAGGAUGCUGGCGUAAUGGCUGUAAGCGGCCCGUCUUGAAACACGGACCAAGGAGUCUAACAUCUACGCGAGUGUUUGGGUGUCAAGCCCGGGCGCGCAAUGAAAGUGAACGGAGGUGGGAUCCCCUCGGGGUGCACCAUCGACCGAUCCUGAUGUCUUCGGAUGGAUUUGAGUAAGAGCGUAGCUGUUGGGACCCGAAAGAUGGUGAACUAUGCUUGAAUAGGGUGAAGCCAGAGGAAACUCUGGUGGAGGCUCGCAGCGGUUCUGACGUG
rnacentral:rRNA from 1 species